GACGAACGCUGGCGGCGUGCUUAACACAUGCAAGUCGAACGGAAAGGCUCUGCUUUUGUGGCGUGCUCGAGUGGCGAACGGGUGAGUAACUCGUGAGUAACCUGCCCUUGACUUUGGGUUAACUUCAGGUAACUGAGGCUAAUACCGGCUAGGUGCUCCUGUUGCUCGGUGGGGGUUGGAUAGUUUGUGCGGUUGGGGAAGGACUUGGGGGUGAUCUGCUUGUUGGUGGGGUAGUGGCUUACUAAGGCUUCGACGGGUAGCCGACCUGAGAGGGUGACCGGCCACAAGAGGACUGAGAGACGGCCCAGACUGCUACGGGAGGCAACAGGGGGGAGCAUUGCACAGUGGGCGGGAGCCAGAUACAGCAGCGCCGCGUGCGGAAUGACGGCUUGCUGGUGGAAAACCGCUUUCGCCUGUGACGAAGCGUGAGUGACGGUAAUGAGUAAGAAAGCACCGGCUAACUACGUG
rnacentral:rRNA from 1 species